rnacentral:rRNA from 1 species
GUGUCAGCCGCCGCGGUAAUACGAAGGGUGCGAGCGUUAAUCGGAAUUACUGGGCGUAAAGCGCGCGUAGGUGGUAAGUUAAGUUGGAAGUGAAAGCCCGGGGCUCUUCCUGGGAAUUGCUUUCAAAACUGACAGGCUAGAGUACGGUAGACCGUAGUGGAAAUUCCUGUGUAGCGGUGAAAUGCGUAGAUAUAGGAAGGAUCAUCAGUGGCGAUGGCGACUACCUGGACUGAUACUGACACUGAGGUGCGAAAGCGUGGGGAGCAAACAGGAUUAGAUACCCCCGUAGUCC